rnacentral:rRNA from 1 species
UACGUAGGGGGCAAGCGUUGUCCGGAUUUAUUGGGCGUAAAGAGCGUGUAGGCGGUUUGGUAGGUCCGUUGUGAAAACUCGAGGCUCAACCUCGAGACGCCGGCGGAAACCAUCAGGCUAGAGUCCGGAAGAGGAGAGUGGAAUUCCUGGUGUAGCGGUGAAAUGCGCAGAUAUCGAGGAGGAACACCUGUGGUGUAGACAGCUUACUGGACCAUUUCUGACGCUGAGACACGAAAGCGUGGUAG